UGCAGCAACGCCGCGUGAGUGAUGACGGCCUUCGGGUUGUAAAGCUCUGUCUUCAGGGACGAUAAUGACGGUACCUGAGGAGGAAGCCACGGCUAACUACGUGCCAGCAGCCGCGGUAAUACGUAGGUGGCGAGCGUUGUCCGGAUUUACUGGGCGUAAAGGGAGCGUAGGCGGACUUUUAAGUGAGAUGUGAAAUACCCGGGCUCAACUUGGGUGCUGCAUUUCAAACUGGAAGUCUAAAGUGCAGGAGAGGAGAAUGGAAUUCCUAGUGUAGCGGUGAAAUGCGUAUAGAUUAGGAAGAACACCAUUGGCGAAGGCGAUUCUCUGGACUGUAACUGA
rnacentral:rRNA from 1 species